rnacentral:sRNA from 1 species
CAAGGUCCUCGCUUGUGGUGUCUGUUUCUCAGACGUAGCUACGAGCGAAGGCCACA